GAGACGAACGAGACUCUCUUUCUUUCCUUUCUUCUUGAAGCCGAAGGGUUUAGGCCAUGCCAAGUAAUCAAAGAAGCGACUCGGUCUUUCUCUCUCCGCUCAAAUCAUGGCGGAAACGAUGGUGUGGCUGCGGUGAGGAAUCGAAGGUGGGUGGGGCCUAGGGUUGGGGUUUUCUCUCAAACUCUCUGUGUCAUCAUCGAAGGUCUCAAAGCCGAAGGGUUUAGGCGGAAGGCCAAGGAAUCAAAGAAGCGUCUCGCUCUUUCUCUCUGCGCUCAAAUCACGUCACAAACGAUGGUGUGGCUGCGGUGAGAAAUCGAAGGUGGGUGGGGCCUUGGGUUAUGGUUUUCUCCCAAACUCUCUCAGUGCUUGCCGAAGGUCUCGAAGCCGAAGGGUUAACGCACACUCAAAUCACACUAGAAACCAUAGUGUGGCUGCGGUGAGAAAUCAAGGUGGACCGGGCCUAGCAUAUCAUGCUAUGAGGAACAUCUUUUGCAUCAAACUUCUUUGGGAUCUUUGAUGGCUGUAAGACUUAUUAGAACAUCAAAUUUAAUCUCUCAAGGCUAUGGUCUUGCCUACUCAAUGAAGAAGAUGAUGGCAAACAAAGCAUUGCUUCGGAGGC